rnacentral:sRNA from 1 species
CAGGUCCACUCUCCACUCUCAAUUAAUUGCCGGCCAGUAUAUUUUCUCUUUUUUUUUACUUACAUUUUAUACACCCACCAACCAUUUUUCUGGCCCCGCGCCAGACGUUUGAGAGCGUCCAUCAAAUGCUUUUGUAAGAAAUGGGGGGAGGGAGGCAAACACAAUCAGUUUGUUGGCCUUUUUUGCCUUUUUUAACCCCCUUUUGAAAAGCCUUGUUUUUAAAGGGUUCCGUUCUGUGGUGUGUAAUAGAUGAGAGAAACGGAGAGUCUUAGCAAGUCUUUGGAGAUGGGAGAGUAUGCAAGAAGGAAAAAUUCAUGAUUUAAUAUCCCUUCUUGCCUACUCCUCCCAUUCCAUCUGCUUUCUGCGACUCCUCUCUUUCCUUAUUCUAGACAAAAGCGUGAUCUAAAAUUAAUCAAGGAGCAAGAGGGAAAGGAAAGAGGGUUGCUGGGAGUUACGGGUAUGGGAGGAUUGGACAGGCCUGCUUGGUUUUAAUUAACCAAAGUCUGUUCUUUCCAACGCCUCCCAUACCGGUGAUCUCCAGCUGUUUCCUCCCUUUCCCUUGCUUGUCCUACUUCAGAUCCUUCGGUUUGGUAAGAUCUGCCCCUGUAUGCAUGUCGUUGGUCUCAUGAUGAUGGUGAUGUUGCGUGCUCUUCUCUUGUUUUUGAAAAAAGAAUAUCAUUUCGUUGACUUGUUAAUCUUGCUUUUAUGCGGGAUAUUGUUAUGUGUCUUGUAUAAUGAUUUUUGUUAGCCCUUUUUUUUAUGCUCAGGUGACAGAAGCGAGUUGUUGGUUAUGGAGUAUCAUCAUUGAGAAUAAAGGAAGUUGAGAUCUGGAGGUAGAUCUGAGUAAAACAUUUGUCAUUCCAGCUCAAUUUAAUAUUAGCAACUGAUAAAGCAUGUGUUUUGAAAUGACAACUGCGAUAGUCACAACAUAUCUGUUCACGCCUCUUCGACUCCGGGGAUUCUGACUCAGUUAGUUCUAUACUGCAACGGUUAAGUAUCUCUGAUGCUCAUGGAUCUGGUCUUGGACUUUGGAAUUUAUAUUGAUCUUCAGCCCCCGCGCAUCCGCUACUAUGGAUGACCCCGACCUGAGUCAUACGACGGACGGAUGAUGCAUAUCCUACGGGUGUGGUCAGCUUUGUUU